rnacentral:misc_RNA from 1 species
CCAAAAUCCUGCUAUAUCGGUAAUGAGACUGGCCUGCAUUUGAAGGGGGUGAUGUGGUAGGGCCUGGGCUUGCAACGUUUGUGACAUUUUCCUUAGAACAGGUGUAAUUGCAGCGACUUGGACGAACAACUCUAUAAACACCACUGCUAGCUAGAACAAAAAUAUCCUUGCGGUUGUCCUCUCCAAAUGAGAAAAUGUAACCCAAGGAUGGAAAGUUACUUCCAGCUACAGAUAUGCACUGGAUGGGAGAGUCCUUUGCACAACUGAAGGGAAUUUUGCUGGUGGUAAAGUUACCACUAUCUUCAGGGGUUUCAGUAGCUGCCCACACAGCACCAGCAUACAAAUCUGCAUACAAGUACCUCCCAUACAUGCAUGGAUCAGUCAUUGAGCGAUAGAAAUAUCCCCCGGUAAUUGAUGCUGACCCUUCAUUCUUGUUUACUUCAGAGUGGUUGUAUCCCAUAACAGGGAAAAUUGGGCUUAUGUUGUUCAGAGAUAUAUUUCCACCAGGUGAUGAUGGAGGAUUAUAAGGAUAGGGGCCCUCAUAAACACGCCAGCCAUAGUUUCCCCCCUUUGUUAUGAUAUCCACCUCUUCAUAUAAAUCCUAUACAGGUCCACAAAAAUUCACUAAAGAACUCCCAAAGGAGAACUUCAAAUGUUUCUUCCCUUUACAGGAAAAGUGACAUGACCUGAAGUCACCAAACAAAAAAAAUAACAUGAAAGCCAGGAAUGAGUGAUGCCAUGAAAGCCAUCAUCUUGAUGGGAAUAAUAUCUUCUGCUAAUCUGGGAACAGACCUACUAACCAUUCCAAGUUCCAACUACCUCACCCUUUUGCUACUCAGCCAAUGCCCAGAAGCAUGAUUUUCAAGUCAAUGCAAACAUAAGGAAUAAAUAAAAUUGAAUUACAAGAUUUGCGCUAACUAAUUGUCAAGAUUGUGGGAAGCAAAACACAUCACAGACCUGGCCAACAUCUGCGCACAUAAAGUAGGAUGGCCUUUCUGAAUCAAAGCUGCAGCGCCAAGGAUUUCUUAAGCCUAAAGCCCAUAUUUCUGGCAGCAAUUCACUGUCUUCACUAAAUGGAUUGUCUUUAGGGAUAGAGUAAUUUCCCCAUAGACCAAGGUCAUUAAUUUCUUUAGCACUUGGUAUAUUAUCAACAUCCAAUCGCAUGAUCUUUCCAAGCAAUGAUUUCUUGUUUUGGGAAAAAUUGUAAGGGUCCCCUGCAUUAUCUGGUCCACCCCCAUCUCCCAUCAUGAAGUAUAAAUGCCCAUCUGUAGGUCCAAAAAGAAUCUGUCCUGCAUGAUGCGAUGUGAAUGGAAGGCCCAUUGUAAGUAUCCUUCUAACUUCCAAUGGUUUCGCAGUUGUUGCCAAGGAAGCCUCAACGGCUGUACUGUUUGCAGUAUAUUCUGCAAUAACACUAUGAUAUUGGCAUGGCUGUGCACCAUUAUCAGGAGCCAGCUUUGAAGGAUCACAAUUCACAUCUGAAUUACAUGAACAUCUUCCAACACAUCCUGGCCACCUGACCUUGUCACAAUUGAAUGAAGCAAAGAAUCGACCAUUUUGUGCAAAGUUUGGAUGAAAUGCCAUACCCAUCAUCCCAAAUGCAUUGCUAAAAUAAACUUCAUCAGUUAGAUCAAUAAAAGGACUAGACUCGUCAAUUUCCAGUGUUCCUCCAGAUCCCUCUUCAGGAAUAGUCGCCAACCAAAUCUUACCUCGUUGGCUGGAGAAGAAUGCACGGUUAGAGCCAUCAGGAUGAGCAACCAUAUUGAGGUAAGAUCCAUUUCCAAUUUUCUCAAGGCACAAACCAGCUGGGGGACUUGGUGAACCAGUGUUAUUGAGUAUAACAGGUUCACCAUUAAAACAUACUGAUCCAUCAGUAGAUGCACCACCAAAUGCUUUGCAGAAAUCGGUUUUUGAUUGCCAGAGAUCAGUCAAUUUGCUAACACUGGAAUUGACAGGUAAUCCAGCUUGGCCUUUUAGUGAAGGGGUAAAAGGAGAAUUCAACACAGAUACGUUUUCACAUGCAUUCCAUACUUUAGAGCAGAAGUCAUUCACUAGUAGGCUAGACUGAGAUGAAUUUCUAGAAAUAGUGGAAUUACAGAGAAAAGGAACUGGUCGGUGCACAGAAUUGAUUGUAAAUAACUCUGAUGAAAAGGGAUCACAUCUAGCACAAAGGAUAGAUUUCAGGAGAGAAGCACAGCCAGGAUCGGAGAUGUUCAUUGCCUGAAAUUGCUUCUGCAAUUGUAUAUCUGUAGUGGAAUUGCAGCAGGUGCUCCCAUUGUAGGGACAAAAAUUCAGAGUGGUGUUUAAGGUAAAUGGUGCUCUUGAAUCAGUGCAUAAUGGAUGAGAUAGAGAAGGAUCAGGAAGAAACAAUAAGUUAAAGAACAGAAAGACAAUGGCAGGAACUGCCCCCAUCGCACCAAACAGACAAAGAAAUGAAGAUGCUCCACUACAAGGGCCUCCUUUUUGCCGAUGCCAGAAUCAUCUUAAGCAGCAAAACUUUUGGCUUGGAAGCCACUAUUAUUUAAAGGAGAAAACCUUUUCUGUGGUUUGAACUUUCUCCUCUCUACCAAAUGCUGCAUUUUUUAGUACCUUCAGGCUUCAAGUUCAAUCUCUCUCUAUUGGUGGCCGAUCUGUAAGCUCUUUCUAUGUAUCACUCUAUUAAAGUCAGCUUCCAGAAGGGAAAUAUCUUUCCUUCUCUGUAUAGAUGUCAACCCUUACGGAAUUGCCGCAAUGAUUUUUCAACUCUCUCUCUCACUCUCUCUCUCU